AUUGAACGCUGGCGGCAGGCCUAACACAUGCAAGUCGAGCGGGGUUUUCGGACCUAGCGGCGGACGGGUGAGUAAUGCGUAGGAAGCUACCCGAUAGUGGGGGAUACCAGUUGGAAACGACUGUUAAUACCGCAUAAUGUCUACGGACCAAAGUAUGGGACCUUCGGGCCACAUGCUAUCGGAUGCGCCUACGUGGGAUUAGCUAGUUGGUGAGGUAAUGGCUCACCAAGGCGACGAUCCCUAGCUGGUUUGAGAGGAUGAUCAGCCACACUGGAAAUGAGACAUGGUCCAGACUCCGACGGGAGGCAGCAGUGGAGAAGAUUGGACAAUGGGCGCAAGCCUGAUUCAGCCAUGGCUCGUGUGUGAAGAAGGCCUUCGGGUUGUAAAGCACUUUCAGUAGGGAGGAAGCGUUGUGUGUUAAUAGUACACAGCGUUGACGUUACCUACAGAAGAAGCACCGGCUAACUCUGUGCCAGCCGCCGCCGUAACAC
rnacentral:rRNA from 1 species